rnacentral:rRNA from 1 species
UACAGAGGGGGCAAGCGUUAUUCGGAAUUAUUGGGCGUAAAGGGCGCGUAGGCGGCUUUGCAAGUGACGGGUGAAAUCCCUCGGCUUAACCGGGGAACUGCCUGUCAAACUGCAUGGCUUGAGACCGGGAGAGGUGAGUGGAAUUCCCAGUGUAGCGGUGAAAUGCGUAGAUAUUGGGAGGAACACCAGUGGCGAAGGCGGCUCACUGGACCGGUACUGACGCUGAGGCGCGAAAGCGUGGGUAGCAAACAGG